rnacentral:rRNA from 1 species
CGGAGGAUCCAAGCGUUAUCCGGAAUCAUUGGGUUUAAAGGGUCCGUAGGCGGUUUAGUAAGUCAGUGGUGAAAGCCCAUCGCUCAACGGUGGAACGGCCAUUGAUACUGCUAAACUUGAAUUAUUAGGAAGUAACUAGAAUAUGUAGUGUAGCGGUGAAAUGCUUAGAGAUUACAUGGAAUACCAAUUGCGAAGGCAGGUUACUACUAAUGGAUUGACGCUGAUGGACGAAAGCGUGGGUAGCGAACAGGAUUAGAUACCCUGGUAGUCCACGCCGUAAACGAUGGAUACUAGCUGUUGGGGGCAACUUCAGUGGCUAAGCGAAAGUGAUAAGUAUCCCACCGUGGGGAGUACGUUCGCAAGAAUG